AUUGAACGCUGGCGGCAUGCUUUACACAUGCAAGUCGAACGGCAGCGCGGGCUUCGGCCUGGCGGCGAGUGGCGAACGGGUGAGUAAUACAUCGGAACGUGCCCAGUAGUGGGGGAUAGCUCGGCGAAAGCCGGAUUAAUACCGCAUACGACCUGAGGGUGAAAGCGGGGGAUCUUCGUACCUCGCGCUAUUGGCGCGGCCGAUGGCAGAUUAGCUAGUUGGUGGGGUAAAGGCCUACCAAGGCGACGAUCUGUAGCUGGUCUGAGAGGACGACCAGCCACACUGGGACUGAGACACGGCCCAGACUCCUACGGGAGGCAGCAGUGGGGAAUUUUGGACAAUGGGCGAAAGCCUGAUCCAGCAAUGCCGCGUGUGUGAUGAAGGCCUUCGGGUUGUAAAGCACUUUUGGCGGGAACGAAAAGGACUGUGCCAAUACCACGGUUCGAUGACGGUACCCGCAGAAUAAGCACCGGCUAACUACGUG
rnacentral:rRNA from 1 species